ensembl:lncRNA
UUUUUUUGUUUUGUUUUGUUUUUCCCCCAGUUUCAUCAUAAAGUGUUAAUGCUAAGAAAUUGAAUGCUCUCAAGACUCAUGCCCCUCUGUGGCCUCGGCUGUUGAGUGGUGAUAAUCUGAAAAAUCUACCCAUUGUACAAUUCCAGCUAUAUGUCAUUGUAGAAAAGGCAAAACUAUGGAGACAGUAAAAUGAUCAGUGGUUGGUAGAGUUGGAGGGAAGUAAGGAAUAUAUAGGGGGAGCACACACAGGAUUUUUAGGGUAGUGAAACAAUAUGUGUGAUACUGUAGUAGUGGAUACAUGUCAUUAGAUACCUGUCAAAACUCAUAAAAUAUACAAUCCCAAGAAUAAACUUUAUUGUAAACUAUGGAUUUUGAGCAAUAAUGAUAGGUCAGUGAAAAUUCACCACUUAUAGCAUGUGUUACUCUGAUGUGGGAUGGUGACAGUAGGAAAGGUUAGUGUGUGGAGAGGGGAGGAGGGAUGUACAAGAGUCCCUGUACUUUCCAUUUGAUUAUUCUGUGAAGCUAGAGCAACUCUUAAGAAAUUACUAAAGUUACAUACAAAAGUGAAGUGUUUUUAAGAAACAAAAUCCUCACUAUAUAUAUAUAUAUAUAUUUAUAUAAUGAUUUUUAUUUUUUUCAUUAUAGCUGGUUUACAGAGUUCUGUCAAUUUUCUACUAUACAGCAUGGUGACCCAGUUACACAUACAUAUAUAGAUUCUACGUACAUGUAUACUUUCUUUUUUCUCCCAUUAUCAUGCUCCAUCAUAAGUGACUAGACAUAGUUCCCAGUGCUACACAGCAGGAUCUCAUUGCUAAUCCAUUCCAAAGGCAACAGUCUGCAUCUAAUAACCCCAAGUUUCUAAUCCAUCCUGCUCCCUCCCCCCUUGGCAACCACAAGUCUAUUCUCCAAGUCCAUGAUUUUCUCUUCUGUGGAAAAUUUGAUUUGUGCCAUAUAUUAGGUUCUGAAUAUGUGAUAUCAUGUGGUAUUUGUCUUUCUCUUUCUGACUUCACUCAGUAUGAGAGUCUCUAAUUCCAUCCAUGUUUGCUGCAAAUGGCAUUAUUUUAUUCUUUUUAUGGCUGAUAGUAUUCCAUUGUGUAUAUAUACCACAUCUUCCUAAUCCAAUCAUCUAUCAAUGGACAUUUGGGUUCUUUCUAUGUCUUGGCUAUUGUGAAUAGUGCUGCAAUGAACAUGCGGGUACAUGUGUAUUUUUAAAGGCAAGUUUUGUCUGGAUAUAUGCCCAAGAGGGAGAUUGCUGGGUCAUAUGGUAGUUCUAUGUAUAGUUUUCUAAGGUACCUCACUGUAUAUUUUUAUUACCAACGUAGUUGAAUGUUCUAGAUACUGAGAUAGGUGAAUGAUUUAUAGAUGGGUAAAGAAAUAGAUAAUAAGCAUUUAUAUAAAGUUACAAAGUAUGUACUAUUUUAAUAACAAAGUGUUGACUCUUCUGGGUCUUUUGCCUCUCUAUGUAAACUUUAGAAUCAGUUUGUAGAUAGCUAUAUGGUAACAUUGUUAUUGUGACUGUGAUUGCAUUGGAUCUGUAGAUCAUGUUGGGAAGAACUGAAAUUUUGACAAUAUUGAGUCUACCUAUUCAUGAAAUGGAAUAUAUCUAUUUUUUAAUUGAGUUUGUUCAUUAGAAUUUUAUUGUUUUGCUUCAUAUAGAUCUUGUAUGUACCUUGCUCAGUUUAUACCUAAGUAUUUCAUUUUGGAGGGAUACUAUUGUAAAUGAUACCGUUUUGUUUGUUUUUCUUUUUAGGGCCGCACUUGUGGCAUAUAGAAGUUCCCAGGCUAGGAGUUGAAUCAGAGCUGCAGCUGCUGGCCUAUACCACAGUUUAUGGCAAUGCCAGAUCCUCAAUACACUGUUCAAGGCCAGGGAUGGAACCCUCAUCUUCAUGGAUACUAGUCAGGUUUUCGUUACUGCUGAGCCACAACGGGGACUCCAAUACUGUGUUUUUAAUUUCAAAUUCAACUUGUUCAUUGCUAGGAAAGCAAUUCACUUUUGUACUUAAACUUUGUAUACUGCAACCUUGGUAUAACUGCUUGUUAGUUCCAGUGGUCAAUAGUUACGGAUUUUCUGCCUAGAUGGUCAUGAUUUCCAUAAAUAGUUUUAUUUCUUCCUCGCCAAUCUGUAUCUCUUAUUUCCCUCACUCACUGCAUUGGCUAUAACUUCCAGUAUGAUGUUGAAAAGGAGUGGUGAGAGGGCACAUCUUUGUCUUGUUCAUGAUUUUAGUGGGAAAAUAACUAGUUUCUUAUUAAGUUUGAGCUUAACUCUAGGUCUUUUAAGAUGUUCUUUAUUAAAUUGAGGAAGUUCAUAUCUUAAGUUUGCUGGGUUUGUAUUAUGAAUGAGUACUGUAUUUUGUCAAAUGCUUUUUCUACAUCUAUUGAUAUAAUUAUGUGAUGUUAUUGACUUCUGUGUAUUAUAUAUUUUUUACAAUAUUCUUACAGUUAAUUUUUCUCUGACUUAAUGCUUACCCCAGCCUUCCAAACUUCUGUUAGGAAGUGGGUAGGACAGAUUGUUUAAUCCAGUCAAGAACUGAGCUAAUUUGAAGUUCAUCAGAAUUGAUUUAAUUGGAAGCUCAUCUGAAAGAGAGCAGUGAGUGAUAGCUUGAAGUGAGAUCUUAAUUCCCUGCUCAGGAAUUGAACCUGGGCAGUCCAGAUGAAAACCAGGAAUCCUAGCCACUAGACCAGCUGGAGGCUAAAGCCAGAAUUGCUCUGAAUCUUGUUCCCUUUGAAAGCAAGAAUGUUUCAAGGAGGCAAAGACUAAAAAAAGCACAAAGUUUAUUAUUAAAAUCACAGUACAACAUGUGGAAGAGCACACAGAGAAGUAGCUGAUUUAAGAGAGAAUCAAGGUAGUAAUACACAACCAAA